ACAGAGGGGGCAAGCGUUGUUCGGAAUUACUGGGCGUAAAGGGCGCGUAGGCGGCCUGCUAAGUCGAACGUGAAGUCCCCGGGCUCAACCCGGGAACUGCGUCCGAUACUGGUUGGUUUGAAUUCGGGAGAGGGAUGCGGAAUUCCAGGUGUAGCGGUGAGAUGCGUAGAUAUCUGGAGGAACACCGGUGGCGAAGGCGGCAUCCUGGACCGGCAUUGACGCUGAGGCGCGAAAGCCAGGGGAGCAAACGGGA
rnacentral:rRNA from 1 species